rnacentral:rRNA from 1 species
GAGUUUGAUCCUGGCUCAGAACGAACGCUGGCGGCGUGCUUAACACGGGCAAGUCGAACGCGAAAGUUUUCUUCGGAAGACGAGUAGAGUGGCGCACGGGUGAGUAACGCGUAAGUUAUCUACCUCGGCAUCUGGAAUAACUCACCGAAAGGUGCGCUAAUACCGGAUACGUUGAGAAAUCAAGAAAGGUGGCCUCCGAAUAUGCUACCGUGCUGAGAUGAGCUUGCGUACCAUUAGCUAGUUGGUAGGGUAAUGGCCUACCAAGGCAACGAUGGUUAGCGGGUCUGAGAGGAUGAUCCGCCACACUGGAACUGAAACACGGACCAGACUCCUACGGGAGGCAGCAGUGAGGAAUAUUGCGCAAUGGGGGCAACCCUGACGCAGCGACGCCGCGUGGAUGAUGAAGGCCUUCGGGUCGUAAAAUCCUGUCAAGUGGAAAGAAGUGCAUAGUGGCUAAUAUCCAUUAUGUUUGACGGUACCACUGAAGGAAGCACCGGCUAACUCCUUGCCAGCAGCCGCGGUAAUACGGAGGGUGCAAGCGUUGUUCGGAAUUACUGGGCGUAAAGCGCGCGUAGGCGGUUUGUUAAGUCAGAUGUGAAAGCCCUCGGCUCA